CGUGUAGGCGGUCGGGUAAGUCAGAUGUGAAAGCCUUCUGCUUAACAGAAGAAGUGCAUUUGAAACUGCUUGGCUGGAGUACGGGAGAGGAGAGUGGAAUUCCCGGUGUAGAGGUAAAAAUUCGUAGAUAUCGGGAGGAACACCAGUGGCGAAGGCGGCUCUCUGGUCCGAUACUGACGCUGAGACGCGAAAGCGUGGGGAGCAAACAGGAUUAGAUACCCUGGUAGUCCACGCCGUAAACGAUGGGCACUAGGUGUAGGAGGUAUUGACCCCUUCUGUGCCGAAGCUAACGCAUUAAGUGCCCCGCCUGGGGAGUACGGCCGCAAGGCUAAAA
rnacentral:rRNA from 1 species